UUAACGUGUGACAGUGGUGUAAGCAGUUAAUCCUGCUUGAAAGUCUUUGUUAAAAAUGUUAGACUCCAGUGAAAAGUUGUAUAAAAUUAAGUACUAUUAAGUGUUUUAUUCCCUGUGUCGUUUUGGACGUGAAGCAAACCAAAUAUUUCAUUUUUCAUGUAACGGGCAAUCUUGCAAGCUAUGCAAGCUGCCAAUUCCAACUGUCACAAAUUGCUCUGUCAAAGAACUAUGACCUUAGCAUUCCAUCAUGCUACUCUGUUGCUCUAUUUAGAGCUUUGUAAAACUUACAACGGAAGACAUACUAACCAGUGGGAAGGUCACCAAUGAUAGAACCAACACACCACUGUCUCAUUUGACUACCCUUUGCCUAGUCAUCAGAAACAGCUUUAAUCUGACUAGUGCAUCGUGUCCCUCUUUGUUUGGAUUCCAAUGAUUAACCACUACCAACCAACUUACAUAGAAAUGGACAUCACAGCCAGUCCUGUUUGGUCUGCCGAGCCUUCUCCUUCAGCAAAAUUACCAGCCCAACAACUUUUGCGUCUUUGGACAACAGGAACUAUACCAUCAUCUUCUGUUCCACGCAAAAUUGAAUCAAAAUUCUAAGUUUUGCCCGUUCUUCACUUCAUAAUCCUUCGUCGCCUGGCUUUUCGCCCCGUCCGUCGCCUCGCCUGUAGCCGUCUUCGCCUCGCCCGUCGCCU